rnacentral:rRNA from 1 species
ACGUACACUCCUGCGGGAGGCAGCAGUGGGGAAUUUUACGCAAUGGGGGAAACCCUGACGUAGCGACACCGCGUGAGCGAAGAAGCCCUUUGGGGUGUAAAGCUCUGUCAGCUGGAACGAAAACAAUGACGGUACCAGCAGAGGAAGCAUCGGCUAACUACGUGCCAGCAGCCGCGGUAAGACGUAGGAUGCGAGCGUUGUCCGGAUUUAUUGGGCGUAAAGAGUUCGUAGGUGGUUUGUUAAGUUUGGUGUUAAAGAUCGGGGCUCAACCCUGGGACUGCACUGAAUACUGGCAGACUCGAGUGUGGUAGAGGCUAGUGGAAUUCCCAGUGUAGCGGUGAAAUGCGUAGAUAUUGGGAAGAACACCGGUGGCGUAGGCGACUAGCUGGGCCAUAACUGACGCUGAGGAACGAAAGCCAGGGGAGCGAAUGGGAUUAGAUACCCUGGUAGUCCCAU